UAUUGUUCGGAGAGUUUGAUCCUGGCUCAGGACGAACGCUGACGGUGUGCUUUAGACAUGCAAGUCGAACGAGAAAGCCCUUCGGGGUGAGUAAAGUGGCGAACGGGUGAGUAACACGUGGGCAAUCUGCCCCUCGCAGGGGGAUAACCGGGGGAAACCCCGGCUAAUACCCCGUACGCUUACGGAGCCGCAUGGUUCCGUAAGGAGAGGUAGCUUCGGCCAUCCGGCGAGGGAUGAGCCCGCGGUACAUUAGCUAGUUGGUGGGGUAACGGCCCACCAAGGCGACGAUGUAUAGCUGGUCUGAGAGGAUGAUCAGCCACACUGGGACUGAGACACGGCCCAGACUCCUACGGGAGGCAGCAGUCGGGAAUCUUGCGCAAUGGGCGAAAGCCUGACGCAGCAACACCGUGUGAGUGAUGAAGGCCUUCGGGUCGUAAAGCUCUGUUGUUGG
rnacentral:rRNA from 1 species